GACGAACGCUGGCGGCGUGCCUAAUACAUGCAAGUAGAACGCUGAAGGAGGAGCUUGCUCUUCUGGAUGAGUUGCGAACGGGUGAGUAACGCGUAGGUAACCUGCCUGGUAGCGGGGGAUAACUAUUGGAAACGAUAGCUAAUACCGCAUAACAGUAGAUGUUGCAUGACAUUUGCUUAAAAGGUGCAAUUGCAUCACUACCAGAUGGACCUGCGUUGUAUUAGCUAGUUGGUGGGGUAACGGCUCACCAAGGCGACGAUACAUAGCCGACCUGAGAGGGUGAUCGGCCACACUGGGACUGAGACACGGCCCAGACUCCUACGGGAGGCAGCAGUAGGGAAUCUUCGGCAAUGGACGGAAGUCUGACCGAGCAACGCCGCGUGAGUGAAGAAGGUUUUCGGAUCGUAAAGCUCGGUUGUAAGAGAAGAACGAGUGUGAGAGUGGAAAGUUCACACUGUGACGGUAUCUUACCAGAAAGGGACGGCUAACUACGUG
rnacentral:rRNA from 1 species